ensembl:lncRNA
GCCCAACCGCAGGGGAGUGGGAAAGGAAACCCUGCCAAUUGCCCAGGAGGAGUAAUUAGUACCUGUGCAGAGCCCUAAUGCCUACCACACCCACAAAAUUGAUUUUGUGACCACUAAUGAGUCAUGGUUGUGAACUAUUGUUCAGAAAACACUAGUUUAAAGUUGUCUCAUGUUGACCAGAAUCUGGCUCAUGACAACUUCCUUCGACUGGCCCCAGCUUUCUCCUGGGGACACUCAAAACACAUCAGCUCCCCCUGGCUCAGCACAGUCCUAUUUAGAGACAGCAUCUUUCUUCCCCAAUUCUUCCCCUCUCCUGGCUUAAUACUCCCCAUUCCCCCAAUUCUUCUUCCCAAGAUGAGACUUUCAAUUUCCUCUCCAUCCUGGUCUCCCUUCUCAGGCUACACUUGAGUCUGCCAAUCUACCUUGUAAUGUGUCACCUCAAAAUGUGGUCUGAGCAGCUUGGAGUUCAGCAGUUCCCAUUUACUCAGAGAUAUGAGGGCUGAGUAAGCUUAAGGACAGGACUAGCCUUGAGCAUUUUCUGUUGAGCCAAUUAUUUAAUUUCCUCAUUUGGCAAAUACUAUUGAUAAUCAUAUUCCCAGUGGGAGGCCCAUGGAAAUCUGAUCAGAUCAUUUUCUGGCUUGAAACUCCUGCAAUGGGUUCUAAUUACUCAGGAUAAAAUACCCACUCCUUCAAGUGGCCUGCAAGGUCCUGUGCAGUUGGCUUCUGCCUGCUUCUCUAACCUCAUAUUUCACAACCAUCCCCUUCUCUCUACACCUUGCAGAACACCGAAGCUCUUUCAUGUCCUAGAAUGUACUCUUUCCUGCCUCAGGAGCUUCACAAUUAUAAAUAGGUGAAUGAUGCUAUCAGAUUUGGGUUUUUAACAUGCGUCAGUUACUUAUUGCUAUGAAACCAACCACCCUCAAAAUUUAAUGGCUUAAAACAACCAUUUUAUUUGCUCAUGAUUCGAGGGUCAGCAGCUUAGGCUGGUUUUGACUGGGUCAUGCAUACAGGCUGGGUCAUUUGACCACUUCACUGAGGUUGGAAGGUCUAAUAUGGUGUCCAUCACAUGCAUCCAACAGGCUAACGUGAGCUGCUUCACAUGGCAGUAAAAGAGUUCCAGGGAGAGAGCGGAAGCUGCAAGGUUUCUUGAGCUCCAAGCUUAGAACUUACACAAUGUUCCUUCCACCAAAUUUAACCAGUCAAAGCAAAUCAUAAGGUCAGCCCAGGUUCAAAGGGUGGGAAACCAGACUGUUUCUUGAUGAAGGAAUGGCAAAAGUCACACUGCAUUGGGACGGGAUAGGAAGAAUUACUGUGGUCAGCUACCACAUAACAGAUAACAGGUGGCAUGAGAGGGUGGGGAGAACGGAAGGAUUUAGGACUGGUUAGAGUCCUAGGAAUCAGUUUUCAGGCUACUGUUAUUGUUCUGUGAGAAAUAAGGCCUGACCUAAGAUACAAGAGAUAUUUCAAGAAAGAAAUUUCAGAUUGUAUGUAACUUUUUGGAAGUUACGUAAGUGGUCUAAGUGCAUUUCCUUAUCUAUAAAAUAGAACUAAAAGAGUACCUAUCUCUCAG